GGGGAACAAACGGAAGGAAUUUCAAAAUGCUUCCAAAGGGCCUGGGGAGGCAGAGAGAGCCCUUGUAGUGUGCCUCUCUUGAAGAAGAUACUUCAGGAGAGGAGGAAGGCAUCAACCACCCCCGUCUUCCCCCAGAGUGGCAGCAGGGAGAAAUGACAACUUGGAUCAAGCCACAGCCGUGGAAUGUUCCUCUCCUCCACCAGCACCCAUCCAGCCCAGUGCAGAAACUGCAUCCUGCUUCCCCACCAGCUGGUGUUGCCGUGACCCCUACAGAAGCCCCAAGGUGGGCCAGAGUCCAUAACUCAGCCUCAGAGACAGACCACGGACCAUUAAAAAUGUGCAGACCUCUCCGUGAACCCCUAUGUGCACGUGAGUGGCAACGAGGGCUCUUCUUCCCUGGGAGAAAUGACAUCCUCAACCCAGGCAGUGAGCAGAGAGUCAGCUGGGUGAGUGAGAAUUGGGGAGGCAACCUAGAAGAACUCACUGGUCCACAAGGUCCCUGAUGCAUUGGAGGUAACGCGAGUGACGGGCAUACAGAAAGAGGCAGACCUUUACCGAACAGACCACAGGAACCCAUAUUUGGUCACUCCUGAACCCACCCAUUCACACUCACAGCCAAGACAAUGCCAGAUAUGCCUUCCACACACUUAAAAGUAUUAAUUUAUUUUCAACUUCUAUUCUAUCCCAUUAUUCAGCCCCUGCGGAGCCUGCAGGAUGACUAAACAGCUUCGGAACAAUAAAAUGCCCCUCUAAACAUCUAAAACUAAGCACUGAAAUCCAAUAAAGCAAAUCAUAAAACCAUAA